AGAAACCUAAUGGAUCUCUGGGUCAGAUUUAUGGCGGCUCAUCCCCUCCAUUGCUAUAGGAGAAAAAAAGUUGACUGGAGCUCACAGACUCCAGAGACUAUAAUUCAUUCCCCACUGCGCUCCAUUUUAUUCAGCCAGAGUACAUUGGUGAGUAUGGGGCUCCAUUUUUUGGGCCAAUAAAACGUAAUCACUGUCUGCCAGGACCAAGGUCAAACUGUAUUCCUUAUGCAAUGUGAUGAUUAUUUUGGCCUUCGCUGAAGGUCGAUUAGCUGUUUAUUUUUCGCCUAUGCCAGGGAGAUUGAUUGUUAAAGAAUUAAAUAGGGGAUGUUUGGCGUUGAUGUAAUUGCAGAUCAUAGUUUGCUCUUAUAUUUUAGGUGUUUUUCCUGGUGCUCUAAUCCAGAGUGUGAUAACUGAGUAGGUAGGAUGUUUGAACAGGUUGACAGUGAGCACAUUUACUGUUGCAUGAAUUAAGCUGGUGACAUUUCAGUGGGGGGACAGCUUCCUCAACUACUCGGUCUCCUCUAUUGGCAGAGGUAAGACAGUUUGACAUCAUCCUGUUUACUUUCAGUCCUCCCAUCCCACCAAAGAGAGCACUGCAUGAACAACCCCUCACGCAAUCUCCGAGGUCCAGCACUGUGGCCACUACUUGGGAUUUUGCAGUAGUGCCAGUAUUUCAAACUGCAGGCUGUAUCACUUAGUUUUAGCCUUAAGAACUUAUACUAUAUACAUUUUUCUGUGCAUCAUCUUGGGUCCCAAACAUGCAGAAACUUUUGCAUGAUUUUUUGUUGUAUGCAUCCAGUGAACAACUUAUUUUGGAAAGUCGCCAUCUUGGAACAACAUGUCCAGUUUCAUUACUACUUCCAUGCCAUGAUGUCCACCAGCUACAGCUUCAAAACAACAGUGAAGGUGCCUGCUGCUACUGAAAAAGAAGCUGGAUGGCCAAAACAGAAGACAAUACACUGAAAACGCUCCAUGGAGUUCCAUUGUGCUAAGGGGAACUGUAGAUCGGGUGAGUAUUCGAGCGACCCCUUUCCCAUAAAAUGAUCCAAAAAAUCAUUUAUUGUAGUCACUUCUAUGUCAUCACGUCUUCCUGAAGGUAGCUUUGAAUAAGAAAUGCAUGAAAACUCUAAAUACACCUUUUUUUUUUCUUCUGCAUUUACAGAAUUUCAGUGUGACAUUUAAAAACAAAAAGCAGGAUUUUCAACCUUUUACUGGCCUAAAAUCCCCAGAACGCAAGCAAAGUUGCUAAAUUGCCAUCCAUUAAAUCUCCCAAGACCCCCCAGCUGCAUACAGAGCGACCCCAUGUGGCAUCCUGAAACCAAGGUUGAUAAACUUUGGGCUUGGGGGCCAGCCUUGCCAAAAGUAGCUCCUUUUGAUAGAAAUCCUCCCUGAAGAAUCAUAGCAUAUGUGUUUAUUAUUCACUGCAGGGCUUUACAAAAUACAACUGUUGAUGCAACACGAGUUGAGCUGAUUAUGGGGCCAACUGAGACUAUAAUGAAAGCGAGAGGGGAGGAGCAGACGGGGAGAGUGAGUGUCAGCCGGAGAGUGCGAGCGGAGAAGGAGUUCGGGGAGAAAAGAGAUAGAGAGCGUGAGGGAGUAAGUACGGCCAGGGGAGAGUACAUGUUGAUGCUUAAUGAA
ensembl:lncRNA